AUUGAACGCUGGCGGCAUGCCUUACACAUGCAAGUCGAACGGCAGCGCGGGCAACCUGGCGGCGAGUGGCGAACGGGUGAGUAAUAUAUCGGAACCAUACCCUAGAGUGGGGGGAUAACGGUAGCGAAAGUUACGCUAAUACCGCAUACGCACUAAGGUGGAAAGUGGGGGAUCUUCGGACCUCAUGCUCAUGGAGUGGCCGAUAUCUGAUUAGCUAGUUGGUGAGGUAAAGGCUCACCAAGGCGACGAUCAGUAGCUGGUUUGAGAGAACGACCAGCCACACUGGAACUGAGACACGGUCCAGACUCCUACGGAGGCAGCAGUGGGAAUUUUGGGACAAUGGGGGCAACCCUGAUCCAGCAAUGCCGCGUGAGUGAAGAAGGCC
rnacentral:rRNA from 1 species